rnacentral:rRNA from 1 species
CAGUCGAACGGUACAGGAAGCAGCUUGCUGCUUUGCUGACGAGUGGCGGACGGGUGAGUAAUGUCUGGGGAUCUGCCUGAUGGAGGGGGAUAACUACUGGAAACGGUAGCUAAUACCGCAUAACGUCGCAAGACCAAAGAGGGGGACCUUCGGGCCUCUUGCCAUCAGAUGAACCCAGAUGGGAUUAGCUAGUAGGUGGGGUAACGGCUCACCUAGGCGACGAUCCCUAGCUGGUCUGAGAGGAUGACCAGCCACACUGGAACUGAGACACGGUCCAGACUCCUACGGGAGGCAGCAGUGGGGAAUAUUGCACAAUGGGCGCAAGCCUGAUGCAGCCAUGCCGCGUGUAUGAAGAAGGCCUUCGGGUUGUAAAGUACUUUCAGCGAGGAGGAAGGUGGUGAGCUUAAUACGCUCAUCAAUUGACGUUACUCGCAGAAGAAGCACCGGCUAACUCCGUGCCAGCAGCCGCGGUAAUACGGAGGGUGCAAGCGUUAAUCGGAAUUACUGGGCGUAAAGCGCAC